GCGGUUUGAUCCUGGCUCAGAGCGAACGCUGGCGGCGUGCCUAACACAUGCAAGUCGAACGUGAAAGGGAGCAAUCCUGAGUAAAGUGGCGUACGGGUGAGUAACGCGUAGGUAAUCUACCCCAGAGUCUGGAAUAACCGGCCGAAAGGCUGGCUAAUACUGGAUAGAGCGACGGAAUCCGUAAUUGGGUUUUUCGGGAAAGGGAGGAAGCAAUUCCCUUUGCUCUGGGAUGAGCCUGCGUCUCAUUAGCUAGUUGGCGGGGUAGUGGCCCACCAAGGCUUUGAUGGGUAGCUGGUCUGAGAGGAUGAUCAGCCACACUGGAACUGAAACACGGUCCAGACUCCUACGGGAGGCAGCAGUGGGGAAUCUUGCGCAAUGGACGAAAGUCUGACGCAGCCACGCCGCGUGAGUGAAGAAGGCCUUCGGGUUGUAAAGCUCUGUCGAGCGGGACGAAAAACGGUCAGGUGAAUAGCCUGAUCGUCUGACGGUACCGCUAAAGGAAGCACCGGCUAACUCCGUGCCAGCAGCCGCGGUAAUAACCUAAAUAGC
rnacentral:rRNA from 1 species